GAUGAACGCUGGCGGCGUGCCUAAUACAUGCAAGUCGAACGAGGUGCUUUUGUAGCAAUACGAGAGUAUCCUAGUGGCGAACGGGUGAGUAACGCGUUGGUGACCUACCCCAAAGUGUGGGAUAACAGUCCGAAAGGAUUGCUAAUACCGCACGUGGUUAUUGGAUUUAGAAACCGGUAACUAAAGGAGCAAUUCGCUUUGGGAGGGACCUGCGUCCCAUCAGCUAGUUGGGGAGGUAAUGGCUCACCAAGGCGACGGCGGGUAGGGGACCUGAGAGGGUGACCCCCCACAAUGGAACUGAAACACGGUCCAUACACCUACGGGUGGCAGCAGUAGGGAAUAUUGCUCAAUGGGCGAAAGCCUGAAGCAGCAACGCCGCGUGUGUGAUGAAGGCCUUCGGGUCGUAAAGCACUUUUCUGGGAGAUGAGAAAGGACAGUAUCCCAGGAAUAAGUCUCGGCUAACUACGUGCCAGCCGCCGCAGUAAAAC
rnacentral:rRNA from 1 species